CCUACGGGUGGCAGCAGUGGGGGAUAUUGCACAAUGGGGGAAACCCUGAUGCAGCGACGCCGCGUGGGUGAAGAAGCGCCUCGGCGCGUAAAGCCCUGUCAGCAGGGAAGAAAAUGACGGUAACCGAAGUAGAAGCCCCGGCGAACCACCUGCCAGCCGCCGCGGUAAUUCGUAGGGGGCAAGCGUUAUCCGGAUUUACCGGGUGUAAAGGGGGCGCAGACGGCGAUGCAAGCCAGGUGUGAAAGUCCGCGGCCCAACCGCGGGACUGCAUUGGGAACUGGCGCGCUGGAGUGCCGGAGGGGGAGGCGGAAUUCCUGGUGUAGCGGUGAAAUGCGUAGAUAUUAGGAGGAACACCAGUGGCGAAGGCGGCCUACUGGACGGUGACUGACGCUGAGGCUCGAAAGCGUGGGGAGCAAACAGGAUUAGAUACCCGGGUAGUC
rnacentral:rRNA from 1 species